rnacentral:misc_RNA from 1 species
AAGUCGUAACAAGGUUUCCGUAGGUGAACCUGCGGAAGGAUCAUUACUAAAUAUUCUAAUUUAUUGGCAUUAAACCCAAUAUAUGCACUUGUGAAUUUUACCGUCUCUGACAAUGCGUUUCCUGCGAAUUUAAAAGUUUUCAGGAAACGUAUUGUUGGUUUUACUUUUCUUUUAUUUGUAUCAUUAUGUUUAUCCUCUAGUCGUAAAAUUUUGAUGAAAGUGAAUAGUAACAACUUUUGACAACGGAUCUCUUGGUUCUC